GUUCGGUCAUCAUGUAAUUAUGAUUCAAGUUGGCGAACAAAUCCCAUUUUCGGUGACUUUCAAAUUUUUCUUUUUUCAGAGUCCAUUAUUAUAAUUGAUGUAUGAUAAUUGGAAUUCGGAUUAAUAUAUGAAAACAUGGUCAAUGAGCAUAAAAUUUUCAUUGAUGAUCAAUGAUCAUUAGACAUAUAAUUGGUGCCGUCUUUAGAAAAACGAUCAUGGUAAUGAUGCCGAGCAUUACAAAUUUAUUGGUGGAUAUCUGGUCACUAACAUGGUACGAUGUCCAACGAAACAUUAUGUUCGUCGUCAGGUAACUUUGGAAUUUCGUUA